UGAUGUAAUAUUUUAUUAUAUAAGAUUAUGGGCAUAUAUAACAAAAUAGACUUUAAUUUCGAUGAUUUAUAUGGAAAGCUUUUAUACAGGGUAUACUAAAAGUUCUGGACUUUUUAAAUAUCUUAAAAAAUACGCAUUUCUGAAAAAAAUGUUUUAUACAAGAAUCAUAAGGUUUUAAGUGGUGCAUAUACAUAGUAAUAAUAGUGUGACUUUAGAUAUCAUUGUAAAGAUCACAUAAAUCAUUUUGAAAUUUUAAAUGGAAACUACAAUUUUUUAUUGCAUAUUCUUAUAGCUGGUCUCGAGAGUUUUUUAAAACAUUCUAAUAAAAUUUUUUUCUCAUUAGUAGUUUUUGAGUUAUGAGGCUUGAAAGUUACAGUACGGCUGGCAUUAGCAUUAUCUAAAUAUCCUAAGGUGGAUGGAGGUUGAAUCAAUCUCUGCUCAAACUAAAAAUUUUCUGUGUUUUUUCAAAUGAUGUAUAAUAAAGGGGUUAAAUUAUAUAUGUAUAUUAGGAUGGUCCAAAAAAAAUCGAUUAUUUUUUUUCUUUAUGUGCUUCACCGAAAAUCGAAAAUAUAUGUUGCAAAAAUAAAUUUGCUUUUUUGUUUAGAUUUUUUAAAAAUGUUUUAGAGAUCGCUGUAGUUGUUUAAACAUGAAAAUCGACGUAACAUGUAUUAAUAUUUUAAAUCAUAUUGAGGCAUAUCCUGUUGAGUUGAUUAUUGAGAUAUUGUUGCCAGGCAUCAAAUAUCAACAAUAUCUCAAUGGUCUAGUUUCCACCAAGGCAUUAAUCUGCAUCCAAUCCGGUGUAAAUUGAAGUCGAUGGAAACAUGUCGGAUUGAGCUCAGUUCUCAUUUCGAUCCACAAGUUCUAGUGGAGUGGCAGCGAAUUGAACUCGGUGGAAACGGUUGCAACUAGUUAAAACUGAGUAGUGCCAACCUGUAUUUAUCUCAUUCCAUGUUUGCGGGUGCUGAGUGCUGUAAAAAAGUCCAAAGAGGUUAGAAAUUGCAUAUAAUUCAUCAUAAAAAUUUAAUAAAAACCUAUAGCUUCAGACAAAAUUAUAUAAAAUAAUUCUAUUCUAUUUUAAUAUAUAUAUACAUUCUAUAAUGUUAAGUUGGCCCUAUUGAAAUAUCAAUUGUUUUUACUUCUACUCCACUUCCAGUGGAAACAGAACACUAAACUUGACCUACACCAAAGUGGAAUCGAAUUGAGCGUAUCGGUGGGAACCAAUGAUCAACUCAACAGGCUAUACUUCAAUAUAAUUAAAACAAUUAAAAUAGCAUGUUACGUCGAUUUUUGUGUUUAAACUACAGCGACCUCUAAAACAUUUAAAAAAAAUCUAAACAAAAAAGCAAAUUUAGUUUUGCAACAUAUUUUUGAUUUCCGGUGAAGCGCAUGAAGAAAAAACAUAGUCGGUUUUUUGGACCACCCUAAUGUAUAUACAGGGUGUUUAUUAAUGGUUGUAUACACCUUUUACCAUAAGAGCGCGUCUUAACUAUGACUUACCGACUGCGCUCUAUGUAAUUUAUAUAGAAUGAAGUUGCAAGUUACUUCUUAUGCUGAAAGGUGUAUACAACCAUUAAUGAAUACUCUGUAUGUGUAGAGGUUUUGAUUUGAAAUUUUGGGAUCUUCUCAAGGCACUUCUUGGAUGGGAGAAGCAACCUCCACAACCUUCUUAAAGAGUAGCCCCUUGGAACACAUAUUUCGUGGUUUUCAUAAUCUUGAAUCAUUUCCGAAAUAUAGGAGCUGGUAACAAAUUUUUGAGACAUUUUGUAUAUAUGUAUACAAGAUAAAGUGUUAUAAGCUGUUAUUUUUGAAAGUACGCUUCAUAACGAAAAAUACCCCAGAUAAAAGUUUUAUAGCUCGAAGAGAAUCAAAUAAUGAUAAAGUUAA